rfam:Aspergillus flavus AF70 138, whole genome shotgun sequence.
GGAGAACAGGGCUUCCCGUCCGCUCAGCCGUACUUAAGCCACACGCCGGGAGGUUAGUAGUUGGGUGGGUGACCACCAGCGAAUCCCUCCUGUUGUAUGUU